AGAGUUUGAUCAUGGCUCAGAUUGAACGCUAGCGGGAUGCCUUACACAUGCAAGUCGAACGGCAGCACGGACUUCGGUCUGGUGGCGAGUGGCGAACGGGUGAGUAAUGUAUCGGAACGUGCCCAGUAGCGGGGGAUAACUACGCGAAAGCGUAGCUAAUACCGCAUACGCCCUACGGGGGAAAGCAGGGGAUCGCAAGACCUUGCACUAUUGGAGCGGCCGAUAUCGGAUUAGCUAGUUGGUGGGGUAACGGCUCACCAAGGCGACGAUCCGUAGCUGGUUUGAGAGGACGACCAGCCACACUGGGGCUGAGACACGGCCCAGACUCCCUACGGGAGGCAGCAGUGGGGAAUUUUGGACAAUGGGGGAAACCCUGAUCCAGCCAUCCCGCGUGUGCGAUGAAGGCCUUCGGGUUGUAAAGCACUUUUGGCAGGAAAGAAACGUCAUGGGUUAAUACCCCGUGAAACUGACGGUACCUGCAGAAUAAGCACCGGCUAACUACGUGCCAGCAGCCGCGGUAAUACGUAGGGUGCAAGCGUUAAUCUGGAAUUACUGGGCGUAAAUGCGUGCGCAGGCGGUUCGGAAAGAAAGAUGUGAAAUCCCAGAGCUUAACUUUGGAACUGCAUUUUUAACUACCGGGCUAGAGUGUGUCAGAGGGAGGUGGAAUUCCGCGUGUAGCAGUGAAAUGCGUAGAUAUGCGGAGGAACACCGAUGGCGAAGGCAGCCUCCUGGGAUAACACUGACGCUCAUGCACGAAAGCGUGGGGAGCAAACAGGAUUAGAUACCCUGGUAGUCCACGCCCUAAACGAUGUCAACUAGCUGUUGGGGCCUUCGGGCCUUGGUAGCGCAGCUAACGCGUGAAGUUGACCGCCUGGGGAGUACGGUCGCAAGAUUAAAACUCAAAGGAAUUGACGGGGACCCGCACAAGCGGUGGAUGAUGUGGAUUAAUUCGAUGCAACGCGAAAAACCUUACCUACCCUUGACAUGUCUGGAAUUCCGAAGAGAUUUGGAAGUGCUCGCAAGAGAACCGGAACACAGGUGCUGCAUGGCUGUCGUCAGCUCGUGUCGUGAGAUGUUGGGUUAAGUCCCGCAACGAGCGCAACCCUUGUCAUUAGUUGCUACGAAAGGGCACUCUAAUGAGACUGCCGGUGACAAACCGGAGGAAGGUGGGGAUGACGUCAAGUCCUCAUGGCCCUUAUGGGUAGGGCUUCAACACGUCAUACAAUGGUCGGGACAGAGGGUCGCCAACCCGCGAGGGGGAGCCAAUCCCAGAAACCCGAUCGUAGUCCGGAUCGCAGUCUGCAACUCGACUGCGUGAAGUCGGAAUCGCUAGUAAUCGCGGAUCAGCAUGUCGCGGUGAAUACGUUCCCGGGUCUUGUACACACCGCCCGUCACACCAUGGGAGUGGGUUUUACCAGAAGUAGUUAGCCUAACCGUAAGGGGGGCGAUUACCACGGUAGGAUUCAUGACUGGGGUGAAGUCGUAAACAAGGUAACC
rnacentral:rRNA from 1 species